UGUCUGUAGAAAAGACAGGAUGU
rnacentral:piRNA from 1 species